rnacentral:tRNA from 1 species
AAGACACUAGUAAAACUAUUACACUGCCUUGUCAAGGCAAAAUUGCAGGUUAAAUUCCUGCGUGUCUUA